rnacentral:rRNA from 1 species
UACGUAGGGGGCAAGCGUUGUCCGGAUUUAUUGGGCGUAAAGAGCGUGUAGGCGGCCAGGUAGGUCAGCUGUGAAAACUCGAGGCUCAACCUCGAGACGUCGGUUGAAACCACCUGGCUAGAGUCCGGAAGAGGAGAGUGGAAUUCCUGGUGUAGCGGUGAAAUGCGUAGAUAUCUGGAGGAAUACCGGUGGCGAAGGCGGCAUCCUGGACCGGCAUUGACGCUGAUGAGCGAAAGCUAGGGGAGCAAACGGG